AUGGCAAAGGGAGAGGGACUUAAGUGAGAGUGAAAACACAAGUAACCUACUGUAUGGCAGGUGGAGGGGCAGUGAUGUUACAGGUGGAGGAGCAAAACUGCAAGACUGCAAACUCACAAGACAGAGAAAUCAAAGUUUGUUCUCCAGAGAAGAGGUUGAUUUCACUUCAUUUAUUUCAUAUUUUCUAAAGAUGUGGAAAUGG